GUUCACUAUUCACUUGACCCAGAAAAUCCCACAAAAUUAUGCAAAUCAAGAGGUUCAAAUCUUUGUGUUCACUUUCAGAACACUCAUGAAACUGCCCAGGCCAUCAGGGGUAUGCAUAUACAAAAAGCCCCAAGUAUCUGAAAGACGUCACUUUACAGAAGCAGGGUGUACCAUUCCGACAUUUCAGGGGGGGAGUUGUUGGGUGUGCCCAGGCCAAGCAGUGGGGCUGAUGGGGUUGGUGGCCCAAAAAGCUUGCUGAAUUUUUGCUGCACAUGCUUAAAAGUGCAGAGGGUAAUGCUGAGCUUAAGGGUUUAGAUGUAGAUUCUCUGGUCAUUGAGCAUAUCUAGGUGAACAAAGCACAUAAAAUGCAUUACUGGACUUACAGAACACGUAGUCAGAUUAACUCAUACAUGAGCUCUCCCUGCCACAUCGAGAUGAUCCUUACUGAAAC
rnacentral:lncRNA from 1 species